AGAAUCAACGCUGGCGGCGUGCCUAACACAUGCAAGUCGAACGAGAAAGUGGAGCAAUCCAUGAGUAAAGUGGCGACCGGGUGAGUAACACGUGACUAACCUACCUUUGAGUGGGGGAUAACAUCGGGAAACCGAUGCUAAUACCGCAUAACAUCGCAAGAUCAAAGCAGCAAUGCGCUUAAAGAGGGGGUCGCGGCUGAUUAGCUAGUUGGCGGGUAACGCCCACCAAGGCGAAGAUCGGUA
rnacentral:rRNA from 1 species